UACAUAGGGUGCUAGCGUUGCUCGGAAUUACUGGGCGUAAAGCACAUGUAGGAGGACUUAAAAGUCAAAAGUGCAAUUCCUAGGCUCAACCUAGGCGCUGCUUUUGAUACUUUAAGUCUAGAGUGAGAUAGAGGAUAGUGGAAUUCUUAGUGUAGGGGUAAAAUCCGUAGAUAUUAAGAGGAACACCAAAAGCGAAGGCAGCUAUCUGGGUCUCUACUGACUCUGAGAUGUGAAAGCGUGGGGAGCAAACAGG
rnacentral:rRNA from 1 species